rnacentral:rRNA from 1 species
UUGGAGGGCAAGUCUGGUGCCAGCAGCCGCGGUAAUUCCAGCUCCAAUAGCGUAUAUUAAAGUUGUUGCAGUUAAAAAGCUCGUAGUUGAAUUUCGGGAUCAAUGUUUCGGUCAUGCCGUUGGUAUGUACUGAUAUUAUUGAUUUCUCACCUUCUAAAGAACCGUAAUGCCAUUAAUUUGGUGUCACGGGGAAUUAGGACUGUUACCUUGAAAAGAUUAGAGUGUUUAAAGCAGGCUCACGCUUGAAUACAUUAGCAUGGAAUAAUGAAAUAGGACAUCCGAUUCUAUUUUGUUGGUUUCUAGGAUCGAUGUAAUGAUUAAUAGGGAUAGUUGGGGGCAUUAGUAUUCAAUUGUCAGAGGUGAAAUUCUUGGAUUUAUUGAAGACUAACUACUGCGAAAGCAUUUGCCAAGGAUGUUUUCAUUAAUCAAGAACGAAAGUUAGGGGAUCGAAGACGAUCAGAUACCGUCGUAGUCUUAACCAUAAACUAUGCCGACUAGGGAUCGGAUGAUGUUAAUUUUUUAAUGACUCAUUCGGCGCCUUACGGGAAAC